rnacentral:pre_miRNA from 1 species
AUUUUUGUGUAAGUAUAUCCCAUGUAAUGUUUGGGAUAUACUUAUACUAAAA